UUGCAGUGAUGACCAUCUUAGGACACCUUUGGAAAUAAACAUGAAACAACCUAUCAGUCUGAGCAAC